UACUACCCACCAGCUGUCAGGAGUUUUUAAUGUGGUGAAUUUAAACAGUGUUACAACAGAAUGAAGAUUUCUGAAAAAAGUAGAUGGCUAACCUAUUAUAUUUUGGGCAUCAUUUGACUUAGAUAGUGUUAAUGUUUAAAGUUGAAGACAGUAUAUAAUUCAUCAAGAACAGUGGAAUCCAGAAUUAAACCUCAAAUUUGACUGAUUUACUAUAGAACUAAUAGUACGAAAAUUCACCGGGCCGAGUCCAAGAUAAGAAAUGUCAAAAAUGGGAACUGGUUGAUGGAUAUGGAUGAAACUUUGCAUCAGUGUUGUGUUUAUGAAUAGAAGUCAGGAAAAUAAAGGAUUACUGACAGACCAUGCAGUUACCAAAGCCUGGGUUUGAGUAUAUGACCUUACCUUAUCCUGGUAAAGAUCUAUAGAAGGACUCCUUCAGCUCUGUUUGGCAGCAGCUUUGUCAGGACACAUUGAGAAGGAACUCAUUUGUUGGUGGAAGGAUUAAAGAUGUACUACCCACCAGCUGUCAGGAGUUUUUAAAGUGGUGAAUUUAAACAGUGUUACAACAGAAUGAAGAUUUCUGAAAAAAGUAGAUGGCUAACCUAUUAUAUUUUGGGCAUCAUUUGACUUAGAUAGUGUUAAUGUUUAAAGUUGAAGACAGUAUAUAAUUCAUCAAGAACAUUGGAAUCCAGAAUUAAACCUCAAAUUUGACUGAUUUACUAUAGAACUAAUAGUACGAAAAUUCACCGGGCCGAGUCCAAUUAAGAACAAAAAACUAUU